AAUAGAUACCCCGGUAGUCCACGCCGUAAACGAUGAGUGCUAAGUGUUAGAGGGUUUCCGCCCUUUAGUGCUGCAGCUAACGCAUUAAGCACUCCGCCUGGGGAGUACGGCCGCAAGGCUGAAACUCAAAGGAAUUGACGGGGGGCCCGCACAAGCGGUGGAGCAUGUGGUUUAAUUCGAAGCAACGCGAAGAACCUUACCAGGUCUUGACAUCCUCUGCCAACCCUAGAGAUAGGGCGUUCCCCUUCGGGGGACAGAGUGACAGGUGGUGCAUGGUUGUCGUCAGCUCGUGUCGUGAGAUGUUGGGUUAAGUCCCGCAACGAGCGCAACCCUUGAUCUUAGUUGCCAGCAUUUAGUUGGGCACUCUAAGGUGACUGCCGGUGACAAACCGGAGGAAGGUGGGGAUGACGUCAAAUCAUCAUGCCCCUUAUGACCUGGGCUACACACGUGCUACAAUGGAUGGUACAAAGAGCUGCGAACCCGCGAGGGUAAGCGAAUCUCAUAAAGCCAUUCCAGUCGGUAGUAGUUAGGUCGU
rnacentral:rRNA from 1 species